CAGGUCUCAAACUCUAGACUGAUUGAUUAGUUAUUGUGUAAGGGAAGUGAAAAGUAUAAAUAAGGACUAACAAAUGAUGUUGUUCUUGCAGAUGAUAAUUUGCAGAAUGAGCGCUCGAAGGUAAGUGCAUAAGUGCCCCAGACUGGGUCAGUCUGUGGAUCUGCACUAUGCAUUCAUGAUUGUCAACGUUUCCAGUGUCUGGUUCCAAAGACAAAUGAACAUUGAAUUAUACUUUUGCAUAGCCCAAAAACGUCACUACUACAUCUAUUUGUUGCUAUAUUAAUACUUCAAGCAUAAUAUUGGCCCACAUAAGUAUGGACACUAAAGCAUUUCUCAUGUUCUGUACUUUAAAUUUGAAAUUACACAAAAGACAAUGUGGAUACAUGAUGUUUUGAUGCAAGUAGGAAAGACUUUUGUUUCUCAUCAAAACAGUGCUAUAAAGUAGAGUAAGGUAAUUACUUAAACUAUAAAGAGAUUAAUACACAUAGCUUAUGUUGGUAGCAUGAGCAUGAUGGUUUGAGGCUGACUUGAUAACUCUGACUUUAGUCUAAUAACUAAUCCAUACUGCAUGACCGUAACAAAGACAAGUUUGGUUUCCAAACCUGCAUUUAUUUGUGGGCACCCUGUCAUAUUUACAUUUAAAAGGUUUGUGAUGUAUUUUCAUUAUAUUGUUUCAAAGUACUGGUGUACAGAACAAAAGAAAUUCAUUUUCAACAUGAAAAUCUUAUCCCUAGUGUCAUUCUGUCUGAAGUAAUGGACCAUUCCAGGUUACUUAAAUCCAAAUUAAAUUAUCAACUUUUUUUAUAGUAUUGCAUUUUUUUUUUUUAUAUAUAUAAUUUCUGGUACACUGAUUGUUAUAUUUGGUUCAACAGUUGCAGGCCAGGAUUGACAAAUUAAAAGCACCACAAUCGGUGUGAAACUCUGUAUGAAUCUACGGCUGAGAAGCGAAAUGCUCUUCAAAGACAGCGAACCUUACUCCUACUGCAAUUGGCAAACUUGGAUAAAAUGCUGGGCCCAGAAUCACAUCCAGUCACUUAAACAGCAGAAGAUUCUGUGAUACCCUCACCAACAGACACACAGGUAUGGCCAGAAAUUGACCAUGCAUCUCCAACCAGCGAAUGUGUACCACCACUGGAAAGAACGGAGUGUAUUUGUUGCCUUCCUUCACAACAUGGACACAGAUUCCAGCUCUGCAGAAGAUGGGAAUGUGUCCCACUCCAAUUCCAAGCUGGGCCCAGAAUCACAUCCAGUCACUUAAACAGCAGAAGAUUCUGUGAUACCCUCACCAACAGACACACAGGUAUGGCCAGAAAUUGACCAUGCAUCUCCAACCAGCGAAUGUGUACCACCACUGGAAAGAACGGAGUGUAUUUGUUGUCUUCCAAAUCAACAUGGACUAGGGUUAGGGUUCUUAACAUGAACGACACCGAAAUGGACCAACUUGCUGAUUUCCUGGGACAUGAUAUUCGUAUCCACAGGAAAUAUUACAGAUUACCCGAGGGAACACUAUUAACAGGAGUGCGUUGAGCCUGAUCCUGGGAUGGAGAGUGAAACAGAACUGUCAGAUCAUUCUCAUGAUGUGACGUCAAGUGAGACAGGCACUUCAGGAGUGAAUAGCAGCAGGCCAGUAAACAUGAAUGAAGGAUCUCCAGAGAGGUCACGGGAGGUCAUGAAAGUAACAUCAGUUCCUAGGAAGAGAAAGUGGAGUGAGGUGGAGAUUGCGGCUGUAGAAGAGACAAUGAUGAAAUGUAUUCACUCGGGAGUUACUCCUGGAAAAGUCGACUACAUUGCAUGCAUUACAGCAGCCCCCAAAGCCCUCGGUGAACGAGACUGGCAGGCGAUGAAGUAUUAUAUAAAAAACAGAAUCACAGCAUAUGAGAGAAAGACCACUAAAAAGUAAGGUUGAUUUUGGUUGUUGAUUCCGUUUUUGCGUUUUAGUUGAAUUAUAAUAUUUUUUUUUUGGUCUCAAUACUAGGGCUGCACGAUAUUGGGGAAAAAGGACAUUGCGAUAUCUUAUUUUUCUGCGAUAUAUAUUGCGAUAUGAUAUCUAAUCUAAUUUUUUCUUACAAACAAAAAUGGCAUGAGCACACAUACAUUCUCAUUUUAAAUGAUUUAAACAUCAGAGUAUUGUUUAAAUUAGAGUAAAUUAUUUGUUUGUAACUUUAGGAUAUGGUUUGAAUUGUUAACAUUAACUAACAUGAACUUACCAUGAGCAAUACUUGUGUUACUAUAUUUUUUAAUCUUUGUUUAUCUUAGUUAUCUUAAACACAGCUGUUCAUUGUUUGGUAAUGUUACUUCACAGUAGGGAUGCACCGGUUGACCGGCCAUUAAUCGGAACCGGCCGGUUUUUGCUUAAAAUACGCAAUCGCCCGUUUUUGGUGUUUUUCCGGCCGAUUUUUCCGGAAGUGCGCUCGCGUGCACAGACUACAUUGUAAUCGUUUGCUAUGUAAUUUGUGUGGAAGAGUAUUUCGAAAUCUGUGCGCAGGACACAGGCAGCCGAUCAGUACCGGAAAUGCAGAGCUUCAUGUCUGAGGCACAGAUGGCAGGAAGUGAACAGCCCUGUUGUACUGCCGCACAAAUAAGAGCCUUUCCUGCACACUGAAGCUGCGCAAGCGUAUACUGUAUCUGUCCGCGCCCUGAACACGAGUAGACCGUGAAGAGAUGUUCAGCUCAACUUCUCACGUGUUGGAUGAGAAACGAAACGGACUAAACUGUGACAAAACAGAAUUAUUUUUUAUUUAUUUAUUUUACUUUUUAUUAUUAUUAUUAGAACUUGCAUUCAUGUUUGAAAAGCCAGAAAUAAACUUCAGUUCUGAAUUAGGAUGAUUAUUUUUAUUUUACCCUAAAAUAGACUUAAUUUAAUUUAAAAAUCAUCUGCUGUAGCACACUGA